rnacentral:rRNA from 1 species
UGACUCUCGGCAACGGAUAUCUCGGCUCUCGCAUCGAUGAAGAGCGCAGCGAAAUGCGAUACUUGGUGUGAAUUGCAGGAU